AUGGAGCAAAGAGAUUCGAAAAUGCACCCAGCGGCCAGCCUUCUGAAAGAUCGUACAAUGUUUUGCCACAAUGAAAAGCCAACUGAUGCAGGGCAAUGCCAUCUUUCAAGGAGUCGGUCUUGGCGGCGGAGGCGGUCAAAUAGUUUCACCAUCUGCACCUUACCAAGCAUCCCGGAAUAUCCAGGCUUCCAGGAUGUUAAGAAUAAUUAUUCCAGAGGUUCCAACUCUUGCUUCACACUGCUGGAUCUGGGGAGAACAAGAUUUGAAAACCCACCAAACAGAACCUCUGAUGGUCAAGUCAGAAACCUGGGUAACUCGGCAGUCCACUUCGCUAAAGGGCACAGUAAAACCAAAAACAGUGUUUGUGACCAAUCUUUGCAAGAUUAUUUCAGUGAGAGACUUCUGAAGCUUAGAAACUAUGAAACAAAAACGUCAAAUGGGAAGGUAAAAGUCUAUCUUAAUGAGAACCAGAAUCCCAGCUACACCAGCAAGGGACUAAGGCGGAGAAGCACCUGUAGUGCCAUGAUACAGGCGAACCACAUGAAAUUGACAGAAAAAUCCCGUGAGUCAGUGGAUCCAGUCAAUGAAUACAUAGCAAUUUGCAGCAACGACCACAGCGACACUCAGAAUAUUGAAGAUUGCUCUCAGAGAAGGAGCUAUUUAGAAAGUUUGACUUUGAGCAUCAAUGGUCCCCUAGAAAUGCUUGUGCGAAGGACAUAAUUUUGGAUCAUUCAAGCAGAUAUUAUAAAGAACAAUUUUCCACUACCUUUCAAUAAAGGCACAAUGACAUUUCUUAUGCUACAUGAUAGAUAAAUUAUUUGGACCUUGAGACAAUUGUACAGCUUCCCAUGAUCAGGUGGGAAUAUUUAAAUUGCAGUCUGGAAUAGUAUAUAUAGGAUUGGCUCAAAACUUAGUCAUGCUUAUCAUAAGCCCAAUGAAGUCAUUCCUUUUCACUGGAUCUGCUCUACGCAUGACUAACCAAGUCAACUAAAAAAUAAGUCCUAUUGAAUUCAAUGGGGCUUAUUCCCAGAUAAGAAGGGUUAGGAUUGUUAUGUCACAUUUAUGUGACAGAAGCAUCAAGUUUUCCCUUGGCAGAUGUCAAGGUGAAGAGUGUAUUUUAAAGAUAUGAAGUUACCACUUGUUGAAAUCAAGUAAUUUAUAUUACUUAUUUAAAACAUUUGUAUGCCACCUUUAGUUUGCCAAUAUCCCAAAAUAUUUUUGUGUGUCAGCAGCACUAUAGAAUUGAGAUGGUGGUGGUAAUGAUAUUACACACAUGAGAUAUUGUAUGUUUGGUUUAGAUAAUAAAUUCAUUGUGACGCUGAUUGGUCCCUCUUAUAUUCAUGUGACUUUUAGAGCUUAGAUAUGGUCACUUUGUAACAUGUGCAUAGUAAGCUCGCUCCAUUUAACCCUGGUGCAGUCACGUUGUGUUUUUAGUGCUUGAGAUCUACCCAUUGCCAAUAGGGUCUGAAGACCAAAAGGUUGCAGCUGGUACAAAAAACUCUGCUGCGGAAGGGAAAGUGAACAUGUGCUGUGAACUGGAAGCCAUAAAUAUGAACCAAGCCUGUGUACACCAAGCAUCAUCUUACUACUACAAGUAUUCUUGGGGGAGGGGGGACUCAUAAAGGUAGAUGAUACAUACUACCAUUUGGCAGCAGCAUUCUGCAACCUGGUUCCCUCCAGAUAUUUUGGAUGACAACUUCCUGGAGCUGAUAGGCGUUGUCAUCCAAAAGAACUGGAGAGCGCCAGAUUGGAAAAUGCCCCCCUACAGUAUAUUCCACAGUUAAAAAGAAUGGCCAAGAAUUAUUGCAACGAUAGCUAAAUUAGCAAAUUACUUCUUUACUCAUUGUUCAUGCCAAAUGCUUUUUUAAAAAAAUUCAAAGGUAGAAGCAAUAUAAUAACUACUGGCAAAAAAAACCAGUUUAUGAAUAUGCCAUCAUUCAUUUUGACAUUCAACACUAAAAUAGUUUAAGAGUGUUGGUUUAAAUUUUUGUAUUUUGUUAAAAGGGGGGAAAUAGAUAGUGUGGUAAAAUAAAAGGAGAUUUAGUUGUGAUACGAUGGUCCGGGAAACCCCAAAGUGCCCUAGAACUAAGUUGGUCAGGGCUUUGUAAAAUAAUUCAAAAAUCUUGAACCUGGCUUGGUAGUAGAUUGGCGGCCAGUGUAGCUGUAACAAUGGCGUCACAUGUUCUCGACCCAGGGCCGUCUUAAGCAUAUCUGGUGCCGUGGUGCAAAGAUCCCUCCAGCCCCC
ensembl:lncRNA